rnacentral:rRNA from 1 species
CCCUUGAAACUCAAAGAAUUUGGCGGUGUUUUAGUCUAUUCAGAGGAAUCUGUCCUAUAAUCGAUAAUACACGAGUAAUUUAACUUAGUUUUGUAAUCAAUUUGUAUACCGCCGUCAUCAGAUUAUCUUUUUAGAGGAUAAUAGUCAAGAGCCUUAUUAGGGGGCAUGUCAGGUCAAGGUGCAGUUUAUGGCUAAGGAGGAGAUGGAUUACAAUAAAAUAAUUUAUAUGAAAAUAAAAGUGAAAAUUUUAUGGAAAGUGGAUUUGAAGGUAAUAUUAAUUUAUUAUUAAUUUGAUUAUAGCUCUAGAACAUGCACACAUCGCCCGUCGCUCUCAUUCUUAAAAUGAGAUAAGUCGUAACAAAGUAGGUGUACUGGAAAGUGCACCUAGAAAGUUU